UGGUCUAAUCAGGCAAGCAAGUUCAAAGCUUAAAGAAAAUAGAUAAAUGGUAGUGAUGUUAAUCAAAACACAAAAUUAUCAAUCUAGUGGGAGCAGAGGUGUUAAAAUAUUUAUGCAAUAUGUUCUCCCCUCCUCUUCCUAGCCUUGUAGUACCUAUGGCCCUGCUGAUGUAACAGCGUGAUGGUGGAAUGCUUGGGAUAACUCAUGGCUCCUGACAGCCUUCAGCAGCCACGACAUGAGCUGCAGCUAGCUGAAGUUGAAUCUGGAGGCAGUGCACAAACAGUUCAGGCACUACUUAACCUUGCAUGCCCCCAAGAAAUGCAGGCUCCACUCAUCACCAGGAGGAUGCUGGUGAUCAGGGGCAGGAGAGAGACUGACAGUGAACGCUGAAUGCAACUC